rnacentral:rRNA from 1 species
UACGAAGGGGGCUAGCGUUGCUCGGAAUCACUGGGCGUAAAGCGCACGUAGGCGGAUUGCUAAGUCAGGGGUGAAAUCCUGGAGCUCAACUCCAGAACUGCCUUUGAUACUGGCGAUCUUGAGUUCGGGAGAGGUGAGUGGAACUGCGAGUGUAGAGGUGAAAUUCGUAGAUAUUCGCAAGAACACCAGUGGCGAAGGCGGGCACCUGGGCCGACACGUGACGCUGAGGCGGCGAAAGCUAGGGGAGCAAACAGG